AAGUUUCAACCUCACUUCAUUUCCUCUCACCUAAUCCAUCCAUCCCUCCCUCCCCUCACCUUCUAAAUAAAUAAAAAAGAGAACACACACACACGGACAGAAACCAAAGACAUGGAUACAGUCCUGUGUGAUGAACUCCUUCAAGAGAUUUUCCAGAGGCUACCCCCAUCAUCCUCGUAUUCGGUCUCCCUUGUCUGCAAGCGCUGGCUCUUCCUCUACCGUUCUUCUACAACCUCGCUCUCUCUUCGUCUCAUCCCUCACCCCAACCUCUUCCCUUCCCUUUCCUCUCUCCUCUCCCAACACCCUUCCCUCUCUUCCCUCUCUCUCCUCUCCUCCUCUGACCCUUCCCCUUCCACCACCUCCCACCUUCUUUCUCUCGUCUCCAAUUCCUGCUUUUCCCCCACCCUUCUCCACCUCAGAUUCCUCGCCGGCCCUCUUUCUCUCCCUUCCCUCUCUUCCCUCUCCAAAUCCUGCACCCGUUUGACUUCCCUAUUUGUUACCCUCCCCAGGCCUAUUACCCUCACCUGGCUCCUCUCUUUCCCUUGCUUGAGGGACUUGUCGAUCGUUUUGUCCUCAGACGAUUCACUUGAUGGCGGUUGGGUGAGUGAUCACGAUUCUUUUGCUGUUUCGGAUUCUAAUUUGGGUCUGGAGAGUCUCUGUCUUGUCGGAAUCCGUGGAGAUGACUGGGGAAUCGGUUGGCUAUGGAGGAGCUGCAAGAAUCUGAGGCGGUUACAGCUUCGGAGCUGCCAAGGUAUCGGUGGUUCUUAUUCUUCCUUCGGUCAAUCCUUGCAGGGUCUCCAAGAACUUGAGCUCAGAACUUGCAGGACUGUGGUUGACAUGGUUCUCUUGAAGCUUUCAGAGAAUUGCAUCUCUCUGAACUCGCUAUUGGUCUAUGACGGUGGAAGCAGGGAGGGUUUGCUUCAUUUUUUUACUCAUUGUAGAUCCAAUCUUCGAAAAAUCGAUCUUCGUUUGCCACUCGACCUCGACAACAGCCACCUCUUCGCGGUGGCUGCGAAUUUCAGAGGCCUUGUAACUCUCAGGCUUCAGAGCUGUUGCCUUGUCACCGGAGAAGGACUAAAGGCUCUUGCGAUCGCGGCGGCGAGUAACGGGCUUGAGGAACUGGCGCUGAUAAAUUGUGAUGUUGUGGAAAGAGAGCAUGGGUUGCUUGCAACAUUGGGGCAGCAUUUGAGGGCUUUGAGGAAACUGGACUUGUCCCACAGCGAGAUGCUGAUCGACAAGGAACUCAUUUCGAUGUUGGUUUCUUGCGUGAAUUUGAUUGAGUUGCGGCUGAGAGGGUGUAAGAGACUCACUGGUGCGGCUAUGGUUUCCAUCCUUAGGAGCUGCAAGAGGCUCGAGACUGUAGAUAUUGUACAUUGUUUUGGGAUUGAAUCUGAGGCUAUUGAGAUGUUCAUGAAGAAUUCUCCUCGUUUGAGAAGAAUACAGGUUGAAGAAUAUAAGCUUUCUGACGCUGCGAGAAUGUGGGCAUCGAAUAAAUUCAUUCAAGUUGUUGUUUGAUUUGGCCUUGUGGAUGUUGCAAGAAGAAGCAAGUGUAUGUUUUUCUGAUUUUAAAAUAAACAGUCUUGUAGCUACGCAGAAGCAGCAGCUACACGUGCAAUGGCUCUUGAUGGAGCUGACAAGACUAAGUUUUCUUUCAAGAAGAGAAUGCUCAUAAAUCUUUUUGCGCAUAACAGGGGAUGAAUCUUUCGUAAAAUCCAGCUAUAUAAAGCAACUGGAGUGAAAAAAGCAUCACAUUUUCCUCCAAAUAUCAUGGAAGAAUACAAUAGAAUAUAUAACAAAGGAAGAAAAUAGGAAAUUCUUGUCGAAUUGCAAUAUUGCAUCGCAGUGACUAAACACGACACAGUGGACUAAAAGUUUGUCUAGGAGACCUAUCAGCAUAAGUUGCGCAAUUCUUUUUUUUUUUCUCUUUUAAAUGUGAAAAUUCUGUCGUUUAUAUGAACAGCCAAAUGAAUGUGAAAAGUAGCAAAGAGCUCUACAAAUCAUGGCUGACGAAUUCCCUUUGACUUGGUAGUAAACUAGAUGGUAGUUAACCAGUACAGAUAUGCAUAUCCAG